rnacentral:lncRNA from 1 species
AUGCGUGUGAAUCACAAGGGCCAUUUCCCCUCAUCAGGUUUCCUCAAGAGCAAUGCUUUCAAAAGCAUAAUUUGUCCCUCACAUUCCUCCUGCAAUACUCACAAGAAUGACCAAAGCCAAAUGUUGGGAAAGGUGUGUGUACUCGUUAUAUGGGUAUCCAGACCCUACAUUGCCCAAACACUUGCUUUUUCUGUUUCUUUCUCUCAGAUCAUAAAUCUUGCUUUAUCUGCUGUGUACAAUGCCAGGGCAGACUGUCUACAGUGCCCAGCCUCUGCAAAGCACUCGAGCAUGACUUGGAAAACAGCACUGCAUCUGAGACGUGUCAGCUCCUGUGGAACACAGCCUCAUGAAAUGGGGGAGGAAGGGAUUCCUACCAGUGUCGAGGAGAACCCAAAACUGAUCUGGCUUCAAGGCAGGAGGUGGAAAACUGCUUCCACCGAGGAGUCAGGAUCUGUGGCAGAGGUGAAACGGUUGAUUUUAGCAGUGCAAGCUGCAGACUAUUAUCUGGGAAGAGUUUGA